UGGGGAAUAUUGCACAAUGGGGGAAACCCUGAUGCAGCGACGCCGCGUGGAGGAAGAAGGCCCUCGGGUUGUAAACUCCUGUCUUUGGGGACGAUAAUGACGGUACCCAAGGAGGAAGCCACGGCUAACUACGUGCCAGCAGCCGCGGUAAAACGUAGGUGGCAAGCGUUGUCCGGAAUUACUGGGUGUAAAGGGAGCGCAGGCGGAGCGGCAAGUUGGAGGUGAAAACCAUGGGCUCAACCCAUGACCUGCCUUCAAAACUGCCGGUCUUGAGUGGUGUAGAGGUAAGCGGAAUUCCCGGUGUAGCGGUGGAAUGCGUAGAUAUCGGGAGGAACACCAGUGGCGAAGGCGGCUUACUGGGCACUAACUGACGCUGAGGCUCGAAAGCAUGGGUAGCAAACAGG
rnacentral:rRNA from 1 species